UAAGCCUGACAGUAGAGUGGGGGGUGGGUAUUGAGAGGCAAGGUCCUAGCUAUGGAGAGGUUGUAAGCACAAAGGAUGUACGAGUUCAGGCCCUUCUCGGAAGAAGUAACAGCCCUACGUCUCGGAGCCCGGAGGCGGUCGAGUGGAUUAUGAAUGUAUGGAUUACAAGGUGCCGAACCCUUCUGCCCGUGGAGGGGGGUGGCUUAUAUAGAGUGCGCCAGGACCCCAGCCAGCCCACGUAGGAGAAGGUUUAAGGUGAGUUAAGUCUGGGCGUUACUGGUAACGCCUCACAUAAAGUGCCUUUACUAUCAUAAAGUCUACUUAAUUACAGACCGUUGCGGUGCAGAGUGCCUCUUGACCUCCUGGUGGUCGAGUGCGUCUUAGUGGUCGAGUCCUUCAGGCCAGUCGAGUAUGUCCUCGUUGGUCGAGUGAGUCCUCGUUGGUCGACUGGAAGGCGACCUCUUCUAGGGAUGACUUAGGGUAAGUUACUUGGGACAGGUCCGUGACCCUACCCUAGGUACGUAACCCCAUCAUUAGCCCCCGAAUGGAUUGAGGCUUCGAGUGAAGAAGGAGUUGACGUCGUUUCCGAUUAACUUUUGCGCUCUAGUUGUGCGCUGUUCUGGAUCAAAGAAUCUCUUCGUCGACAAGGAGCAAUUCGUCUUCGGUCGACUCGAUCCAUUCUGUUUUUGCGUCGAGUGAUCUUCCGAGCUUCGUCGAUCUCCGAGCGACGGAUCGCCGGAAUCGCCGCGUCUGACAGGCAGAUUUGUUGUUCGCGGAUUCUGCGGGGUGCGAAAUUUGGGGGCGCGCGCGAAGCGGGGCGGACCGCGGCGUUCGGAUGGGACGGGGAGUAGACGCCUCGAUCUCCGCGCCGCCUUUUUCGCCACGUAUCCAGUCUCCAUAACUGCUCUCAGAUAUGAUUAGAUCGACCGGGCCCACACGUCAGCCACUCGGAAGGGACCUUAUAAAUGUGCCUGGCGAGGAUUUCUGUGCUGCGCCUCCGCAUUCUCCCUCUCUCCCUCUGCUCUCUUCCUCCCUGCUCAGCGUGCCUGCCCUCGCUUCCGCACCGCUCCCCUUCGUGCAUCCCACCGGCGACCAUGGUCAAGGAGAAGACGGCGGCGUUGGAGCGUGCCAAGAAGGCGUCGGCAUCGGAGAAGGCGAAGGGGAGAUCCACCAGCCGCCGAGGAUCCUCGUCCAGAUCCCGCCUGCCGAAAGGCUGGGUCCAGGGCGACUGGAUCCAGUCGACCAUCACGGAGAAGGACCUCCUCGACAUGGCCGACGAGGGUUUGAUCCCUCACGGAGCCGCGAGGUUGCCGGGGAAGGAGUGGCAGCCACAGCCAGAAGAGGGUGAGUGUGUGCUCCUGGCCACUCAUGUCGAUCGGGGGUUUUCCUUGCCACCGAGCAUUUUCUUCCGGGGUUUCCUGAAUUUCUUUGGGGCGCAGCUCCACCACUUUACCCCAAACUCCAUUGCCUACCUUGCUGCGUUCGUGUCCAUGUGCGAGGGUUUCUUGGGCUGUCGACCGCACUGGGGUCUGUUCAAACGUAUCUUCACGUGUCGCUCUCAGACCGUGAAGAAGGCGAGCCCAGGUGACGAGAAGACCCGAGUCGUCCAAAUGUGUGGGGGCCUGGGGAUUCAGGUGAGGAACAAUAGCACCUUCCCGCCCAUGUCUUUUCCCGAGUCCGUCAGGGGCUGGCAGUCGACUUGGUUCUACUGCCAGGUCCAGUCGACGCCAGGGCAGUCGAGUGGACUCCCUCCGUUUACCAUGGACCGAGUGAACAAGCCCUCCCCUCUGAAGCUGAUUCCGGAGGAGAAAGCCGACGUGAAGAUGUUGAUGGAGCGCGUGGUGCAGCUGGUUCGGGACGGUGUGACAGGCAUGGACCUCCUGGAGGUUUUCCUCAAGCGUCGCAUCCAGCCUCUCCAGUUCAGGAGCCACUGCAUGUGGUUGUACUGCGGGCCCGAAGACGAGACUAGAGUCCAUCCAGAAGAAGUCGACGAUGUCACUCUGGAGAGAUGGAUGGCAGCCAUUACCGGAAACAGGGACAACCCGCGCGGAGCCAGAAGAAUCCCUCCACUCGACCACGACAGCAUCCCAAACAAGGUACACUUGCUCUGCUUUCCAUUGUCCUUGUCGUAUUCAUUUCUGCUAACCCUGUCGACUGGUCGACUGAUCCUUGUUUGGGCGACUGCUAGGCCUUCACCGAGCUAUACUCGAUGCCCAAUGGGGCACAAGCUUCGACUGAGGAAGGCGAGGCGAGCGGGGGCGAGGCGAGCGGGGGCGAGGCGAGCGGGGGCGAGAGCCAGGAAGAGGAGGAAUGGGACUCGGAUGCUGCAGGGGAUGAUGACGACGAUGAUGAUGAUGAAGGUGAUGAAGAUGACAUCGAGGACGAGGAAGAAGAGGAAGAGGAGGUCGUUCCACCGCGCUCAGAAAGGCGGUCGAAGCUUGUCCACGACCCUUCGACCGAACGUGGUAAGGGGGUUGCGACCGCCACCCAGUCGACCAAGCGCCCCCGGACCACCUCUCCGGCGCCGACUGAAAAGGCGCCGAAGCAGCCUAGGGCGGCUUCAUCGAAGCCGACCAAGCUCCUGCCGAAGAUGAAGGUGUCCAUCCCCACCAUUUUAGGGUAAUUGUGUUGCUCAUAUUUUCUUAUUCUUAUGCGAACUUUAUCUCUGGUCGACACUGAGGUUAGUCGACUGCUCCUUUGGUGUUGCAGUGCUGCUACUUCUGAGACCUCAGCCCGGGCCGACGACCACGAGAUGGAGGAUGCCGCAACUUCGAAUCCAGGUGCUGUGUUCUUAAUACCAUUCUUAGUCGACUGACUCGCGAUCUCUGAUCCUGACCCUUCUCUGCAGCUCCACCCAACACUGUUAUCGAUCUUCCUGAUGAUGAUGAGGAUGAAGAGCCGCUGAAGCACAGGAGGAGUCGAAAAGCGUCCGCCAGCAAGGUGCCUCAGGAUGUGUCAGCGCCUGAAAUUCUGACUGUGGAGGGAGAGAACACCACUCGACACACGGUGACCUUCGCGACUCCACUGACGAGUGCUCAGCAGCCCUCCCUCUUCACGACUCACCACGUCCCAGAGGACCAAGCUGGUGCGGCGAAGGAGGCGAUACGCCAGGCGGGACUCAUGAUGGAGCAGCUGAAGACCAUCCGGGAUGCGAGCCAGGCAGCUUAUGACGCCAGCUCUGCCCUCCAAAGCAAUGUCCAGGUCAGUCGACUGCUGUUUGUUCUGCUGGAUAUGCUACCAAAAACUUUUCUUUUCCGGGAUUUAUAUUAGUCACCCACUGGGAGUGUCGAAUAAACUCCGUGUUAGCGGGGGCACGCUGAGUGCACCCGCUGGGUGUAGUCCCCAAGGCUAAGGUCGACUGCUGGCAGUCGGCCUUAGGCUUUAUAAUGUCAAUCUUUCUAUCAGUCGACUGGUCGACUGGAUUUCGCAAACCGGUGGGGGCACGCUGAGUGCACCCACUGGGUGUAGUCCCCGAGACUGUGGUCGACUGCUUGCAGUUGAUCACAGUCUUAGAUAAUGCGUCUCGCACACUGUUUUUUUUUUUGAGGUCGACUGGUCGACUUUGUCUUCGACAGGAUUAGUGGGGGCACGCUGAGUGCACCCACUGGGUGUAGUCCCCGAGACUACGGUCGAAUACUUGUAUUCGGCUGUAGUCUUAGAAACGUGUGUUUUUCCCUUUUUCACUCGGAAGUGAAUUAUUUUUGACGUUUGGUCGAUUGGUUCUUCGCAGAACUCCUGUGAUCUUGUGGCUCGCUACUCAGAGCUAGAACAGAAACAUACUCAAGUCGAGCUGAGCUUGAAGCUGGUUCAGGAGAAGCUGACAAAGGCGAAGGAGGAGACUGAAGGUAUGUUUGGUGAGACCUUGACGACUGCUUUUCCUCUUGCUUGUUUCAACACCUGAUCUUGCCGUGUCUUGCAGGUAAGGUAAAGGAGGCCCAGCAGAAGAAAGACCUUGAGCUAGCUGAGAAGAUCAAGCUUGCUGACGAGAAGUUAGCUUCAGUCACCAAGCUUGAACAAGACAAUACCAACCUGAAGACUGCUCUUGGGAUUGCCAACAAAGAAGUCAGUCGACUGAGAACUGACAAAGCUGCCUUGACCGAUCAAGUCAGCAAAUUGACUGAGAAGAAGACUGCGCUGGAGGCCUUCCUGAGUGGCUUUGCCAAGAAGCUGUUUCUUAUGCUCGAAGGUAAACCUCCAUGUUUGGCAAGUAUUUCUGACUGUGGCUUCUUCCAUUCGACUAUCCCCUUGACUUAGUGAUCACUCUUGCAGAAUUUUGUCAAAACUUUGAAGAAGAAACCAGCCGACUGGAGCCAAACCUUGACCCUGUCAAUUCUCCGGUAAAUGACGAGGUUGCCAUGGAUAUCUUCCGACUGGAAUCUCGCGUUGCAUCCGUCGUGGAUUAUCUCGCAAGGCUGAAGGCCGCCACAUCUCGCAUCGACUCGACGCUCUGGCCUGAGGAGACACUUCAGAAUGACCUUGAGUCAUUAAUGGCCCGCUUGAACACGAUCCCUGGUCGAGUGCUGGAAUGGAAGAAGUCCUCAGCUCGGUGUGGUGCAGAUGUUGCUCUGUGUCUGGCCCGAGUCCACUGCAAGGAUGCACGAGAGGAGAAGCUGGCGGCUCUUCGGGUGGCCAAUACCAAGAAGCACGACUUCAGGUCCUUCAUGGAGACUUUCCUUGCAGCUGCCACUCGGAUCGCCGACGGAAUUGACCUUGAUGAAUUCGUCGCACCUUCCAGCCCUCCACAGGAGGGGUAAAAAACUUCUUAUGGCUCGACUCUUUUAAAUUUGCCUCGGUAUGCCGAGUGGAAUUGUAUCCGACAAACUUUAACAGGCUUGACGCCUGAGCACUUUUGGUUCCUUUAGACAUCGAUUCGAACUUGAAUUUGGCGCUUGAAUAUGGUUGCCUUCGGCUCAAAAUGUCCUUUGCAGGUUCAAAGCAAGGUGCCUGUGCUUAGGCGAGCGCUUGGACUGUAGCUAAGCCUUCGAGCGUGAGGAUCGCUCUUCACUCGGUAGGGUUUUUAUAACUUAGGCGAAACGGAUUCGCAGCUAAGCCUCCGAGUGGAAGGCUGGCUUACCACUCGGUAGGAUUUUGAUAAACUUAGGCGAGUGCUUGGACUGCAGCUAAGCCCCCGAGUGAGAGGAUUGCUCACCACUCGGUAGGAUUUUUAUAACUUAGGCGAGCACGAGGCUGCAGCUAAGCCUCCGAGUGAGAGGAUUGCUCACCACUCGGUAGGAUUUUUAUAACUUAGGCGAGUGCUUGGACUGCAGCUAAGCCUCCGAGUGAGAGGAUUGCUCACCACUCGGUAGGAUUUUGAUAAACUUAGGCGAGUGCUUGGACUGCAGCUAAGCCCCCGAGUGAGAGGAUUGCUCACCACUCGGUAGGAUUUUUAUAACUUAGGCGAGCACGAGGCUGCAGCUAAGCCUCCGAGUGAGAGGAUUGNNNNNNNNNNNNNNNNNNNNNNNNNNNNNNNNNNNNNNNNNNNNNNNNNNNNNNNNNNNNNNNNNNNNNNNNNNNNNNNNNNNNNNNNNNNNNNNNNNNNGGUAUUGAGAGGCAAGGUCCUAGCUAUGGAGAGGUUGUAAGCACAAAGGAUGUACGAGUUCAGGCCCUUCUCGGAAGAAGUAACAGCCCUACGUCUCGGAGCCCGGAGGCGGUCGAGUGGAUUAUGAAUGUAUGGAUUACAAGGUGCCGAACCCUUCUGCCCGUGGAGGGGGGUGGCUUAUAUAGAGUGCGCCAGGACCCCAGCCAGCCCACGUAGGAGAAGGUUUAAGGUGAGUUAAGUCUGGGCGUUACUGGUAACGCCUCACAUAAAGUGCCUUUACUAUCAUAAAGUCUACUUAAUUACAGACCGUUGCGGUGCAGAGUGCCUCUUGACCUCCUGGUGGUCGAGUGCGUCUUAGUGGUCGAGUCCUUCAGGCCAGUCGAGUAUGUCCUCGUUGGUCGAGUGAGUCCUCGUUGGUCGACUGGAAGGCGACCUCUUCUAGGGAUGACUUAGGGUAAGUUACUUGGGACAGGUCCGUGACCCUACCCUAGGUACGUAACCCCA
rnacentral:lncRNA from 1 species